rnacentral:lncRNA from 1 species
AGAGAUGAUCGUGACUUGCAUGAUGAAUCUGCCAUUUCUUUCGAACGAGAAGCUUGUCGUUAUGGUUCUUAUAAGUUAUCAUCUUAUUGUAAUGAAAGAACAAGACAAAAAGAAAAUAGAAGAAAAGAAAAACAAGAGAUGUUGAUGCAACAAAAUGAACGAAUCUUGAAUGAAAUUGAGAGAAGAAAAAAAGAAAUGAGAGAAAAAUAAAAAGAUGAAAAUGAGAUUCCAAAAACAAAAGAGAGUGAAAAGCAAAAAGAGAUUGAAAAAGAAAUUGAAAAAGAAGAAAAAGAAAGAGUGGA